AAACUAACAAGGAUUCCCCUAGUAACGGCGAGUGAAGCGGGAAGAGCUCAAAUUUAAAAUCUGGCAGGCUACGCUUGUCCGAAUUGUAAUCUCGAGAAGUGUUUUCCGCGUUGGCCUGUGUACAAGUCCCUUGGAACAGGGCGUCAUAGAGGGUGAGAAUCCCGUCCUUGACACAGACACCCAAUGCUUUGUGAUACACUCUCAAUGAGUCGAGUUGUUUGGGAAUGCAGCUCAAAAUGGGUGGUAAAUUCCAUCUAAAGCUAAAUACUGGCGAGAGACCGAUAGCGAACAAGUACCGUGAGGGAAAGAUGAAAAGCACUUUGGAAAGAGAGUCAAACAGUACGUGAAAUUGUUGAAAGGGAAACGAUUGAAGUCAGUCGUGCCUGCCUAGAUUCAGCCUUCUGGUGUAUUUCUAGGUCGGCAGGUCAGCAUCAGUUUGGGGGGGUUAACAAGGGAGCUGGGAAUGUGGCAACCUCGGUUGUGUUAUAGCCCAGUUUCGCAUUGAUCUCGCUGGACUGAGGAACGCAGUGCGCCCGCAAGGGUUGGUCUUCGGACACAUUCGCACUUAGGAUGCUGGCAUAAUGGCUUUAAACGACCCGU
rnacentral:rRNA from 1 species